rnacentral:misc_RNA from 1 species
UCGGUUCUCGGUGCUGAAUUCCAUCGUGAACGCGAUUCUCUUGGUGCGAAAAGGGCCGUUCAGUGGACGUACGAGAAGUUGGCACAGGGCCAAAGGACAAAGAGAAGAAACGUUUUGGGGAAAGAAGAAAAUUUCGAGAACGCGAGGAAGAUACGAACAAAGGGGUGGAAGAAACGGGAAUUUUAAGGAUAUUACACGGUUAUCUCGCACGAUCUCGACAUCUGUUCUCGUGAUCAUACUAGUUGACGUCCAUGGCCUCCACGUCGGCUAUAAGGGUUGCUUCUCCGUGGAAACCCGGGGGUUGAUAUUUCAGGAGUGCGUGUACAAGCCGAUCGUAAAUUGUAAAAUCUAUCAAGACCAACGCGGUCGACAUAACUCAGGGGGUUGCUAUCCUGGUGGUAUGAAGCAUGGCGGCCAGACUCGGCAUAAAUACCCGGUAGCAGAACAGAGCAGGAGCAGAGAGCAAGCCCAGACCCGUUGUGGCGUGGCAACAUCAUCUAUCUCGAAUAAUUUAUUAUCGCGCGACUACCGCAUCCUCGAAAUCCGGACAAGAACGCAACUAUAGGAACUGUGAACCGGAAACGAGUGUCGUGCAUGGAGAUCCUAGAUGCGGCCGGCUUCCAGAUUCAACAGAUCUGCGAGAAAACUUCCGUGGGACGUCUUGGAAUUUAGCAUUCUAUUGAAAGUGCCGUUUUAUUAAUACGUACAAUGUAUAUAUAUAUAUAUAUAAGACUUACGUGUAUAAUUUUUACCAGAGAAUCGAUUGAAAUUCUUUAUUUUAAUUAUACGAUUGUUCUUCGUGGUUCAAUUUACUUUUGAAAAGCGUUAACAAUUAUAUGGUUGAAAAAGUAUAAGAAACGGACAAGUAUAGCAGAGAUGCAUAAUAUAUAAUAGUGUAAUAAAUCGUUUUAGCGUUAUUAUUAAUUUGGAUAUUAAUCUUUUACAAGUAAUCUUCCGAAAUGCAAUGGAAGGGAGAAUUGAAAAAUCUGUCUUAUUCGUUAUUUUCCUUAAAUAGCCUUAGAGUAUGCCUUGAAUAUUAUAUAUAUGUGAUGUUCUAAUAAUAUGUUUAUAAAAGAAAUGCAACGUGACUUUGAGAGCUUUGACGAGGAUUUCUUUCGUGUGUCUAAAAGAUCCAAAUCUAAAUACGAUUAUUUUGAAAACUUGAAAAUCAUACUCGAAAUUCAUUGGUAAUAAUAAAAACGUAAGAACAUGUGGUUAUCAUGAUGAUUAUUACGGUAAAUUGCGAAAGAAAUCUGUACUGAUAAGUGUGUUAAAUUGCUCAUAGGUCUGCCUGCACUUU